rnacentral:rRNA from 1 species
UAGGGAAUCUUCGGCAAUGGGGGGAACCCUGACCGAGCAACGCCGCGUGAGUGAAGAAGGUUUUCGGAUCGUAAAGCUCUGUUGUUAAGGAAGAACGAGUGUGAGAAUGGAAAGUUCAUACUGUGACGGUACUUAACCAGAAAGCCACGGCUAACUACGUGCCAGCAGCCGCGGUAAUACGUAGGUGGCAAGCGUUGUCCGGAUUUAUUGGGCGUAAAGCGAGCGCAGGCGGUCAAUUAAGUCUGAUGUGAAAGCCCCCGGCUCAACCGGGGAGGGUCAUUGGAAACUGGUUGACUUGAGUGCAGAAGAGGAGAGUGGAAUUCCAUGUGUAGCGGUGAAAUGCGUAGAUAUAUGGAGGAACAACAGUGGCGAAGGCGACUCUCUGGUCUGUAACUGACGCUGAGGCUCGAAAGCGUGGGUAGCAAACAGG